GGAAGCACAAGUGGCCAGUAUUCGGGUCACACCUCAAGACUUUGGUCAUAAGUUAAAACUAAAAUUCUGGUCAUAACCCAAAUUAUUCUUAUGUCGGACCAGGUUGUAACUCGAGGGUCCACUGUAUUUGGAUACAGGUUCUUGUUAAUCUGCCAAGUUGCCCAGGCUGGCCUUAAACUUGUGAUCCUCCUGCCUCAGCCUCCCAGAAUACAGGGAUGAACGACAUUCACCACCAUGCCCAACUUGACUUUGUCAUCUUUUAUAAAACAGCACUGGGGUGGACACUCUUCAGGUAUAACAUUCUAUGAACAUGGCAUUAUACUAAACUGUGUCCGUGAAUCCCUAAAUUGCAUAUUUAAUUCACUCUUGCUUUAUAAAAUAUCACUGUCUCAGCCUCUUAAGUGACCUGACAACUUUUCCUCCUUAGUAGUAAUUCCCAAAGCUCUUCAUUAAAUAUUUAGUAUCUGCAAGGUAGAUGGACAAGCAGAACCUGUAUCAUGCUCGGGUCACAGCAUUCAGUGACAGAGGCAGGUAAGUGUCACCGUGUGAUGGACUGGGUCGGGUCUGUAGCCCCCAUGGACAGCGAGGCCACACCUUGGUCUGUCGUGCACAGCUGGCCCCUGACGUUUCGCCCUCCCACGAUAGGCCGAGCUUUUGGAUGAUCAAACUACCUAGGGCCACAACUCACUGCCGGGGUGUUUUGGCUGGAGGUCCUGCCAGCCCAGAAACGCCUUCCUGCAAGAUGCAAUGGGUGGGAACCCACCCCUCCAGCGGGCUCAGUGUCACUGUCCCGGUCGCUCCACAGGCCCGAGGGGAAGGAUGCACUUCACAUCUCUGUUGUCUUCUACCAGCACAGCACGAGUGCUUGUCGGUGCCCACAGCCAGCAGUUUGCUUGUUCUACCUCUGAACACCAAUCCUGGAUAUUCAAAGUGCUGUUUCCAAGCAACUGGAUUUCAGUAGAAUGGUUUCCUGCCUCUGUCUACGCUCCUGUUUCCUGGAAAGAAGGCAGAAGCUUCCAGGCAUGGAAGGAACCAUCUAUGCAAACAGACCACACUCUGCGGCUGAGGUGGAAACAAAGGGCUCCGCACCGGAAGCCCAGCAAGGGGCAGGGACACCGAGCAGCGGGCCACAAGACGGCACCACGGCAGAACGGCAGAGAUCGACGAGAGCCACCGGACAUGCAUGCUCACACACGGCACGGUUUCUCUUACGUGAGAAACUCGAAGCAUACAUAAAGUACGGGGCGAAAGAGCAGAUGACUGACAGGGAACAGGGGGAUGGAGCUUUUCAAAUGGGAAGGGGUAGGAGAGAUGGAGGGAGGGGAGGGAGGGCAGAGGAAAGGGGUGACGGAAGGGCGAAGUGUCUCUUCCACGCACCAGCUCCCUCCAGGAGCGCGGCCGUUAUGUACUGCAAGCUCGUGCUGAUAAAAAUAAAAAUGCGAAACGGAAAAUAAUGAAGUAUGUAGGGAGAGGCCAGCACCCAAAAGUGGCUGAGGAACAAACACUGAGGCGGGCCGAGGGCUUCCCAUCCGAGC
rnacentral:lncRNA from 1 species